GACGUAGGGUGCGAGCGUUGUCCGGAUUUAUUGGGCGUAAAGAGCUCGUAGGCGGUUUGUUGCGUCGGCUGUGAAAUCCCGAGGCUCAACCUCGGGUCUGCAGUCGAUACGAGCAAACUAGAGUGUUGCAGGGGAGACUGGAAUUCCUGGUGUAGCGGUGAAAUGCGCAGAUAUCAGGAGGAACACCGGUGGCGAAGGCGGGUCUCUGGGCAGCAACUGACGCUGAGGAGCGAAAGCCAGGGGAGCAAACGGG
rnacentral:rRNA from 1 species